rnacentral:tRNA from 1 species
CAGAUAUUAGUUUAAUUAAAAUUUUAAUUUUGGAGAUUAAUGAUAAAAGUUUUUUUAUAUCUGA